CAGCCCCGCGGUAAUACGUAGGGUGCAAGCGUUAAUCGGAAUUACUGGGCGUAAAGCGUGCGCAGGCGGUUAUAUAAGACAGAUGUGAAAUCCCCGGGCUCAACCUGGGAACUGCAUUUGUGACUGCAUAGCUAGAGUACGGCAGAGGGGGAUGGAAUUCCGCGUGUAGCAGUGAAAUGCGUAGAUAUGCGGAGGAACACCGAUGGCGAAGGCAAUCCCCUGGGCCUGUACUGACGCUCAUGCACGAAAGCGUGGGGAGCAAACAGGAUUAGAUACCCUGGUAGUCCACGCCCUAAACGAUGUCAACUGGUUGUUGGGUCUUCACUGACUCAGUAACGAAGCUAACGCGUGAAGUUGACCGCCUGGGGAGUACGGCCGCAAGGUUGAAACUCA
rnacentral:rRNA from 1 species